CAGGUCUUGACAUCCCACUGACCGGUUUAGAGAUAAGCCUUUCCCUUCGGGGACAGUGGUGACAGGUGGUGCAUGGUUGUCAUCAGCUCGUGUCGUGAGAUGUUGGGUUAAGUCCCGCAACGAGCGCAACCCUUGAUCUUAGUUGCCAGCAUUCAGUUGGGCACUCUAAGGUGACUGCCGGUGACAAACCGGAGGAAGGUGGGGAUGACGUCAAAUCAUCAUGCCCCUUAUGACCUGGGCUACACACGUGCUACAAUGGACGAUACAAAGGGCUGCAAACCCGCGAGGGGGAGCCAAUCCCAUAAAAUCGUUCUCAGUUCGGAUUGUAGGCUGCAACUCGCCUACAUGAAGCCGGAAUCGCUAGUAAUCGUGGAUCAGCAUGCCACGGUGAAUACGUUCCC
rnacentral:rRNA from 1 species